rnacentral:rRNA from 1 species
CUGAUGCAGCGACGCCGCGUGAGCGAUGAAGUAUUUCGGUAUGUAAAGCUCUAUCAGCAGGGAAGAAAAUGACGGUACCUGACUAAGAAGCCCCGGCUAACUACGUGCCAGCAGCCGCGGUAAUACGUAGGGGGCAAGCGUUAUCCGGAUUUACUGGGUGUAAAGGGAGCGUAGACGGCGGUGCAAGCCAGAUGUGAAAGCCCGGGGCUCAACCCCGGGACUGCAUUUGGAACUGUGCUGCUAGAGUGUCGGAGAGGCAGGCGGAAUUCCUAGUGUAGCGGUGAAAUGCGUAGAUAUUAGGAGGAACACCAGUGGCGAAGGCGGCCUGCUGGACGAUGACUGACGUUGAGGCUCGAAAGCGUGGGGAGCAAACAGGAUUAGAUACCCUGGUAGUCCACGCCGUAAACGAUGACUACUAGGUGUCGGGCAGCAAAGCUGUUC